GACGAACGCUGGCGGCGUGCCUAAUACAUGCAAGUAGAACGCACAGUUUAUACCGUAGCUUGCUACACCAUAGACUGUGAGUUGCGAACGGGUGAGUAACGCGUAGGUAACCUGCCUGGUAGCGGGGGAUAACUAUUGGAAACGAUAGCUAAUACCGCAUAAUAUUGAUUAUUGCAUGUUAAUUGAUUGAAAGAUGCUAUUGAAUCACUACCAGAUGGACCUGCGUUGUAUUAGCUAGUAGGUGAGGUAACGGCUCACCUAGGCGACGAUACAUAGCCGACCUGAGAGGGUGAUCGGCCACACUGGGACUGAGACACGGCCCAGACUCCUACGGGAGGCAGCAGUAGGGAAUCUUCGGCAAUGGACGAAAGUCUGACCGAGCAACGCCGCGUGAGUGAAGAAGGUUUUCGGAUCGUAAAGCUCUGUUGUAAGAGAAGAACGGGUGUGAGAGUGGAAAGUUCACACUGUGACGGUAUCUUACCAGAAAGGGACGGCUAACUACGU
rnacentral:rRNA from 1 species